rnacentral:ncRNA from 2 species
AUCAGUUCUCAGGGCGGGGUGUAAUUCCCCACCGGCGGUUAUAGCCCGCGAGCGCCUUGCAUUGUAAAAUGCUUGGGUCAGCAGAUUUGGUGGAAUUCCAAAGCCGACGGUUAAAGUCCGGAUGGUAGAGAAUGGAA